rnacentral:rRNA from 1 species
UACGAAGGGGGCUAGCGUUGCUCGGAAUUACUGGGCGUAAAGCGCGCGUAGGCGGAUUGAUUAGUCAGAGGUGAAAUCCCAGGGCUCAACCCUGGAACUGCCUUUGAUACUGUCAGUCUGGAGCAAGGUAGAGGCGAGUGGAAUUCCGAGUGUAGAGGUGAAAUUCGUAGAUAUUCGGAGGAACACCAGUGGCGAAGGCGACUCGCUGGACCUUUGCUGACGCUGAGGCGCGAAAGCGUGGGGAGCAAACAGG